rnacentral:lncRNA from 1 species
CGGCCGCGGCGCGGCGCUCGAGGCCGCCGACGAGCGGCUCGGGGGAGCCUUCGACCAGUGGGAGGUGGAGCGGGUGAUCGCCGUUGGGCUCUGGUGCGCGCACCCGGACCCCAAGAUGCGGCCAGGGAUCCGGCAAGCCGCCGAGGCGCUGCGGUCGAGGAAGUUCAGGAUGCCGCUGCUGCCGCCCAAGAUGCCGGUCGCCGUCUACCUGCAGCCGUUCGGUGCCUCCACCAUGCAGUUCAGCGAUACCACCGCCUCUGUCGGGUCAUCUGUUACCAUGCCGUACACUUCGAC